rnacentral:lncRNA from 1 species
GUUCAUGGCAGGAUUCGGUUAGGAGGAACAGCACAGCAUGCUGGGCUCUGGAUUUAAAGCUGAGCACUUAAGAGUGAAUUUGAGAUUAGUCAUAAAUCGCCUUGAACUAUUGGAGGAAAAAAAAAAAAAACAGAACUGGCCCAGAAAGCAAGGAAGGAGAUUGCUGACUAUCUGGCUGCUGGGAAAGAUGAACGAGCUCGGAUCCGUGUGGAGCACAUUAUCCGGGAAGACUACUUCGUGGAGGCCAUGGAGAUCCUGGAGCUGUACUGUGAUCUGCUGCUGGCUCGGUUUGGCCUUAUCCAGUCUAUGAAGGAACUAGAUUCUGGUCUGGCUGAAUCUGUGUCUACAUUGAUCUGGGCUGCUCCUCGACUCCAGUCAGAAGUGGCUGAGUUGAAAAUAGUUGCUGAUCAGCUCUGUGCCAAGUAUAGCAAGUAAUAUGGCAAGCUAUGUAGGACCAACCAGAUUGGAACUGUGAAUGACAGGCUAAUGCACAAUCUGAGUGUGGAAGCCCCAUCCAAAAUCCUGGUGGAGAGAUACCUGAUUGAAAUUGCGAAGAAUUACAAUGUACCCUAUGAACCUGACUCUGUGGUCAUGGCAGAAGCUCCUUCUGGGGUAGAGACAGAUCUUAUUGAUGUUGGAUUCACAGAUGAUGUGAAGAAAGGAGGCCCUGGAAGAGGAGGGGGUGGUGGGUUCACAGCACCAGUUGGUGGACCUGAUGGAAUGGUGCCAAUGCCCAUGCCUAUGCCCAUGCUAUCUGCAAAUACUCCUUUCUCAUAUCCACUGCCAAAGGGACCAUCAGAUUUCAAUGGACUGCCAAUGGGGACUUACCAGGCCUUUCCCAAUAUUUAUCCAUCUCAGAUACCAGCAACUCCCCCAUCAUAUGAAUCUGUAGAUGACAUUAAUGCUGAUAAGAAUAUCUCUUCUGCACAGAUUGUUGGUCCUGGACCCAAGCCAGAAGCCUCUGCAAAGCUUCCUUCCUGACCUGCGGAUAACUAUGACAACUUUGUCCUACCAGAGUUGCCAUCUGUGCCAG